UACGAAGGGGGCUAGCGUUGCUCGGAAUCACUGGGCGUAAAGGGCGCGUAGGCGGUCUCUUAAGCGUGUGGUGAAAGCCCGGGGCUCAACUCCGGAUCUGCGGUGGGUACGGGCAGACUAGAGUGAUGGUAGGGGAGACUGGAAUUCCUGGUGUAGCGGUGAAAUGCGCAGAUAUCAGGAGGAACAUCAGUGGCGAAGGCGGCCUGCUGGGCUGUUGCUGACGCUGAGGCGCGACAGCGUGGGGAGCAAACAGG
rnacentral:rRNA from 1 species